UACGAAGGGGGGCUAGCGUUGCUCGGAAUCACGUGGGCGUAAAGCGCACGUAGGCGGAUUGCUAAGUCAGGGGUGAAAUCCUGGAGCUCAACUCCAGAACUGCCCUUGAUACUGGCGGUCUCGAGUCCGGGGAGAGGUGAGUGGAACUGCGAGUGUAGAGGUGAAAUUCGUAGAUAUUCGCAAGAACACCAGUGGCGAAGGCGGCUCACUGGUCCGGUACUGACGCUGAGGUGGCGAAAGCGGUGGGGAGCAAAC
rnacentral:rRNA from 1 species